UAACCCUAACCCUAACCCAGGGUUGGUAGACGCUGGGAAUACCAGGAACUCUCCGCCAUGGUUCCGGAUGAAGCGUCUCGCCGCUCACUGGUCGACCACCUCGAAAACAGAGGAUUCUUUGUUGUCGGUGAACCGUUGGAGGACGCGCAUGGUGCAGAGCCCAGCUCUCAGGAGACGGGGCACAGGCCUGAGCACAAGCGUCUGCUGGAGUUGGCAGAGGGUCGGACAGAGGAAGCUUGCCAUGGGCUCCUAACGGGCGAGCGGUUGCCGCAACAUGAGAUGACGCUGUACCGGUACUUUUGCAUGGCCACCCUGACGAUCACGCACCGUGUACCGGAAGAGACGGUGGUGGACUUCAAAGUCACUGAGUGGAAUGACAGGCAGGUGAGCGCCGGUGUCGGGGCGACGAUCUACUUCCGAGACGGUGCGGACAGAGCUGUUUUCAGCGUAGACGAGGAGAGGGUGAGCAGAGCGUGUCUUCUUUUGUUUUCAUGUUUUUGUUUUGUUUUUCACAUUCAAGUGAAGAAUUGAAUGUGAAAAAAAGCAAGUGAAGAAAGCGUUUCCGCGGACGGGAUUUCACAGCUUGGCCUUUCGUUUCCCACCGACAGUGGUUAGGUGCCUACUUCACGGCCAUCAGGCCGCUCUACCUGACGCGGAAAGGGGAAGCAGCGGAUGACCAGGGCUGCUUCUUCCUGGGGACCACAGGACUUCACGUGGCCAAUCCCAGGUCCGACUUGUGCCGUCUCUGGAGGCAGUGAGUGUACUCUUUUAUUACUUAAACAGGGGUGUGGCAAUCGCCCUCACUAAGCGACCAGAACUAGCAGGUUGCUUGGAUAACUUGGAGCUGGUAGUGAUUAGUUGGUUUUUGUUCUUCACACCUCUCCUCCAUGACACAGCUGUCGGAAGAUCUGCGAGGGAGCGGGCCCGAAUCCGCCGCCCGUUACGGCCGAGGCCACGGGGACGUCUUCCCGGGACAAAAGGUAAACAUUGUGCGUUGCGGCGCUGACACAAACACGUCCGACAUCACAGCCGCCCGGUUGCCAUGCGUGCUUUUCUCUUCCUGCAGUUCUGUGUCGGGGAAAGGGUCACGUGACGACCAAUGGGACGCUUUCGUCAGUGAAUUCCCCGUAACAAUAGGUGCCCUCGCGCCCUCCAAAGAUAAGAGGAACUUGUCGGUGCCGGGUUUGGUGAUGAACAGACGCCCUAUUUCAAUUGGAGGCGAAUCCAGCUGGAAAAGCGUGUGCUACAUGUCUCCGCUUCCGCUGGCAGGCAGCGACCGACCGAGGCCAAAGUGGCAGCCAUUGUGGCCAAGGAGGAGUGGAAAACGAAUGUCCCCUCCCUCCCGGAUGUGCUCCAGGCGUGGGUCUCCCCUUUAAAGGCAGCCAUUGAGGACGACAAAGGUGUCCUCAAGUCAGUGGUGGAGCAAAGGUGGAAGGGGAUCGAUUUUAUAUUACCAUGCCGUUCUCCAAAGGUGAAGUGAUCUGCGACUGUCACG
rnacentral:lncRNA from 1 species